AUACUUGGCUGGCAGCGGAGAUUCCAUGCCCGUGCAGGUGGUCUUCCCACGGCAAGGCUUACCCAUUGCACUCCGCACGUGCUGCCCCCUGCCACUUCCCCAAAUGUGGGCAACUCGACUGCACAAUUCGAGGUAGUGGGGGACUGUGUUCGUGCUCUCCCCUC